rnacentral:rRNA from 1 species
GAUGAACGCUAGCGGGAGGCCUAACACAUGCAAGCCGAGCGGUAGAGUUUCUUCGGAAACUUGAGAGCGGCGCACGGGUGCGUAACACGUGUGCAACCUACCUUUAUCUGGGGGAUAGCCUUUCGAAAGGAAGAUUAAUACCCCAUAAUAUAAUGAUUGGCAUCAAUUAUUAUUGAAAACUCCGGUGGAUAGAGAUGGGCACUCGCAAGAUUAGAUAGUUGGUGAGGUAACGGCUCACCAAGUCAAGGAUCUUUAGGGGCACUGGGAGAGAGACCCCCCACACUGGUACAGAGACACGGACCAGAAUCCUACGGGACGCAACAGUCAGGAAGAUGAGACAAAGGGUGGGAGCCUAAUCCAGUCGUCGCGCGUGUAAUAUGACGAUCCUAUGGAUAGUAAACAUCUUUUAGAAAGGGAUAAUCCUACCACCGUGAGGGUGGCUGAGGUUACUGUACGAAUAAGCUCCGGCUAACUGCGUG